ACGGAAAGGCCCUGCUUGCAGGGUACUCGAGUGGCGAACGGGUGAGUAACACGUGGGUGAUCUGCCCUGCACUUCGGGAUAAGCCUGGGAAACUGGGUCUAAUACCGGAUAGGAGCCAUUUUUAGUGUGAUGGUUGGAAAGUUUUUUCGGUGUAGGAUGAGCUCGCGGCCUAUCAGCUUGUUGGUGGGGUAAUGGCCUACCAAGGCGGCGACGGGUAGCCGGCCUGAGAGGGUGGACGGCCACAUUGGGACUGAGAUACGGCCCAGACUCCUACGGGAGGCAGCAGUGGGGAAUAUUGCACAAUGGGCGCAAGCCUGAUGCAGCGACGCCGCGUGGGGGACGACGGCCUUCGGGUUGUAAACUCCUUUCGCUAGGGACGAAGCUUUUUGUGACGGUACCUAGAUAAGAAGCACCGGCUAACUACGUGCCAGCAGCCGCGGUAAUACGUAGGGUGCGAGCGUUGUCCGGAAUUACUGGGCGUAAAGGGCUCGUAGGUGGUUUGUCGCGUCGUCUGUGAAAUUCCGGGGCUUAACUCCGGGCGUGCAGGCGAUACGGGCAUAACUUGAGUACUGUAGGGG
rnacentral:rRNA from 1 species